CACGUAGGGCGCAAGCGUUGUCCGGAAUUAUUGGGCGUAAAGAGCUCGUAGGCGGUUUGUCGCGUCUGCUGUGAAAACCUAAGGCUCAACCUUGGGCUUGCAGUGGGUACGGGCAGACUAGAGUGCGGUAGGGGUGACUGGAAUUCCUGGUGUAGCGGUGGAAUGCGCAGAUAUCAGGGAGGAACACCGAUGGCGAAGGCAGGUCACUGGGCCGCAACUGACGCUGGAGGAGCGGAAAAGCAUGGG
rnacentral:rRNA from 1 species